CACCCUCGAGGUGGGAAGGCCCCCAGCAGAACACUGGGUUGAUAGGCCGGACGUGGAAGCGGGGACUAACGACCCGUGGAGCUGACCGGUACUAAUUGGCCAACAACUUCAC
rnacentral:rRNA from 1 species